UCAAGGACCCAGGGCCACCCCAAAAGCGGCUGUGACCCCAUGUCCUUCUCAUAUGAGGCUUCUUUGUUUCAGUUAGUGUCGCCUUCUGGGCAAGAAUGGACCAAUGAAAGAUAUGUUUAAUUUUGAAGAUCUACACUUUUAUUUCAGAGAAGUAUGGAGGGGCACAGUGAGUAAAUACAAAUGUUUGGUCCACUAUCUUGGAUCAGAAGGCUAGCCGAACAUCUUGGAUUCCACUGAGCUAAUUGACAUUGUAUAAUAAUGAAAAAAAUAAACAAACAAAUUUCUCAAGACUCAAAAUAUCUAAGAAUGUAGGUCAAGAACAUUUAAGAGGGGGAAGAUGGGUGUAAAUAUCUAAGAACAUUCUGGGGAAAGGAGUUACAAUGAUGAACAAAGAAGACAUAUUUGAGAAGUGAAGAAUACAGACAAGUAAGCAGACAAAUACGAGACCGUGAUAAACCCUACCAUGAUCCAAUGAUCAGGUGCUAUGGGAACAUAAAGACAGACAUAUGCUUGGAACGAGGAGUCAGGAAAAUGUUCCCAGGGGAAAUGACAUCUCUGAAACCUAAAGGAUUUGAGAGGAACUCAUCAUGGCUGAGACAUCAUCUGUGAGGUGGAGAAUUGUGAGGCCUGAGGCAGGAGACAUAAGCAGAAAAAUUAUAAAGGAACAUCUGCCCCCACACUAGAGAGCUUGAACUUGACCAUGAGGGCAAAGAGAAGAGCAACUAAAGGGGUUGAGAUUGGGAUGCAACAAGGUCUGAUUUGCAUUUGAGAAAGAUCUCUCUUGCUAUAAUAUGUGGAAUGUGUUAAGAGAUGAAAACAACUGGGCACCUGGUGCUGGGAACUCAGAUAGGAGUCUGUGACCAUAACCCAGGAAAGCGGGGAGAAGGCCUUAGACUAAAAUAGUAGCAGUAGACUAGAGACAAGUGGAUAGAAUCAAUUUGGAGGGCAUGUCUGUGGCAGAGUCCACAAGGGUAGGAGGAAGGGCCUAAAGCUGUAGGCUAAAUGUGCUUUUUUAUCGGAGUCUGAGGACCCCAGAAUGUUCAGCUGCUCAGAGCAGGGCUUCCUGUGGGCUCCUUCUGUUUGCAGCCUGUUUCACCUUUCACAACGCAGCAUUAUUUGGUCUCCCCCUUUCCACAAAGGGCCUGUUCUCUGAACCUCUGUGGUCCAUUUUCCAUCUCCCUCCAACCCCACCUGAAACAGUGGCCUUUCCUCCUCACCUUCCCACCCACCCCAACCCUGUACACUUCCCAAAGCCCAAGAUAGUCCCUAUGGAGUGACUUCUUGAGGGCUUCUAUUGAAAAGACAGGGAUAGCCCUUGACUCUAUAGAGUUGAUGGCAGAUGGUGGAUGAUGGAGGGAGAGAGGUAAUCCAGGAAACUGGUCCUUUUUAAGAUUGUAGUGGUUUAGGAUGCUAAAGCCAGAGGAUCACUUAAGGCCAGGAGUGAGUUCAAGACCAGCCUGAGUAACAUAGCAGUACUCCCAUCUCCCAUCUCCACAACAAACAAACAAAACAUUAGUUGGGCAUAAUGGCACGUGCCUGUAAUCCCAGCUACUCAGAAGGGAGGAUCACUUGAGCCCAGGAAUUAGAGGCUGCAAUGAGCUAUGGUCAUGCCAUUAUAUUCCAGCCUAGGAGGCAAAGUGAGACCCUGUCUCUUCUCUUUUGUUUAUUUUAUAGAUGGUCCAUCAGUCACUAGUGAAAAAAUUUAUAUACGUGCACAUGCAUACACACAGGCACACUGAUACGGUUUGGCUGUGUCCCCACCCAAAUCUCAUCUUGAAUUGUAGCUCCCAUAAUCCCCAUGUGUCUUGGGGGGAGCUGGUGGGAGGUAAUUGAAUCAUGGGAAUAAGUUUUUCCCAUGCUGUCCUUGUGAUAGUGAAUAAGUCUCGUGAGAUCCGAUGGUUUUAUAAAGGGCAAUUCCCCUGCACACACGCUCUUGCCUGCCACCAUGCAAGAUGUGCCUUUGCUCCUCCUUCACCUUCCACCAUGAUUGUGAGGCCUCCACAGCCAUGUGGAACGGUGAGUCCAUUAAACCUCUUUUUCUUUAUAAA